rnacentral:rRNA from 1 species
UACGUAGGGAGCGAGCGUUGUCCGGAAUUACUGGGUGUAAAGGGUGCGUAGGCGGCCGAUCAAGUCAGGCGUGAAAACUAUGGGCUUAACCCAUAACGUGCGUUUGAAACUGAGCGGCUUGAGUGAAGUAGAGGUAAGUGGAAUUCCCGGUGUAGCGGUGGAAUGCGUAGAGAUCGGGAGGAACACCAGUGGCGAAGGCGGCUUACUGGGCUUUAACUGACGCUGAGGCACGAAAGCGUGGGUAGCAAAC